CUAUUAUCUGGCGGUUAAGAGUCACUGGUAGGUUACUGUAACCAUAACUCAUCUCCCCUGCGCGAUCCCAGUGGCAUCUCUCGGCUUAUCCAAAUUCCCUUCAUUUUCACAGAGAAAGUAGCGGAUUUGAGAUUUGGUUUCAGUUGAGGAGCACUUAUUUUAGCUGUCAUUUUGGGAGUAUUUAUUUUAAUCCCAUGAGACCGUGAAUCUGAUUAUUCGAAAACGGAUCACUCAAUUGUUAACUCUAAAAAUAAUUGACACUAAAUAUAAGGCAUCCAAAAUAUAGUAAGACUAAAGUCUUUGCAUAAUAAGGGAACUAAUUGCUGGAUAACCACUAAGAACAAGGUUCUGAGUGUUGAAUCUGAUCAGAAGAGAACAAACUAAAGAACUUAGUCAUGGCACCAUUGCAGCAACAAGAUAUUCAGCAUGCGAAACUAUUGGAGGUCGCUGUCGGUACU